GAUCGAAUGGCUCAACUUAUGCAAGACAGUUGUGCAAAACAGUGUCUUCAGACUUAGAAAGGGCACACAUCUAGCUGAAACAAAUUUAAGCAUAAGAAAGAAGAGAAUCCAUCGACCCUUUGAUUGGAAAGCUUAGUCACUGACUGAACACCGGCAUCACUUGCUCCAGAGACUCAAUGGCAAUGCUCAGCG
rnacentral:lncRNA from 1 species